GACGAACGCUGGCGGCGUGCUUAACACAUGCAAGUCGAACGGUAAGGCCCUUUGGGGUACACGAGUGGCGAACGGGUGAGUAACACGUGGGUGAUCUGCCCUGCACUUCGGGAUAAGCCUGGGAAACUGGGUCUAAUACCGGAUAGGACCACUGCCUGCAUGGGUGGUGGUGGAAAGCUUUUGCGGUGUGGGAUGGGCCCGCGGCUUAUCAGCUUGUUGGUGGGGUGAUGGCCUACCAAGGCGACGACGGGUAGCCGGCCUGAGAGGGUGACCGGCCACACUGGGACUGAGAUACGGCCCAGACUCCUACGGGAGGCAGCAGUGGGGAAUAUUGCACAAUGGGCGCAAGCCUGAUGCAGCGACGCCGCGUGAGGGAUGACGGCCUUCGGGUUGUAAACCUCUUUCAGCACCGACGAAGCGCAAGUGACGGUAGGUGCAGAAGAAGGACCGGCCAACUACGUGCCAGCCGCCGCAGUAA
rnacentral:rRNA from 1 species